rnacentral:rRNA from 1 species
CCUACGGGGUGCAGCAGUGGGGAAUAUUGGACAAUGGGCGAAAGCCUGAUCCAGCCAUGCCGCGUGUGUGAAGAAGGCCUUCGGGUUGUAAAGCACUUUCAGUGGGGAAGAAAGCCUUGGGGCUAAUACCCUCGAGGAAGGACAUCACCCACAGAAGAAGCACCGGCUAACUCCGUGCCAGCAGCCGCGGUAAUACGGAGGGUGCGAGCGUUAAUCGGAAUUACUGGGCGUAAAGCGCGCGUAGGCGGUCUGAUAAGCCGGUUGUGAAAGCCCCGGGCUCAACCUGGGAACGGCAUCCGGAACUGUCAGGCUAGAGUGCAGGAGAGGAAGGUAGAAUUCCCGGUGUAGCGGUGAAAUGCGUAGAGAUCGGGAGGAAUACCAGUGGCGAAGGCGGUCUUCUGGACUGACACUGACGCUGAGGUGCGAAAGCGUGGGUAGCAAACAGGAUUAGAUACCCCUGUAGUC